rfam:Planctomycetes bacterium GWF2_41_51 gwf2_scaffold_3620, whole genome shotgun sequence.
GCCCAGGUGGCGGAAUUGGCAGACGCACUAGCUUGAGGGGCUAGCGAGCUUCGGCUCAUAGAGGUUCAAGUCCUCUCCUGGGCA